GAAGGUAGUUGUGAGUUGUUCGUAGAGGAAGGAGCCAUGUUGUGAAGCCACGAGCUGAGGGGCCCCCAGCCACACUGGGGGCUGAGCCCCCCCCCCUCAGCCCCUGGUUGAGGGGGCUACAGGGACUUAGAACAGUGUAAGACUGGGCUAAGUAUCUGUAGCUGAGAAGGUAGAAGUUUCUGCACCGUGAGCAGCAGCAGCAGCAGCGGCAGAACAACACUGGCCAGAGAAACAGUGGCAGAGAGCCAACAGAUAAGAACUGAAGAAGCAGCAAACAAGCAUGCAGCUGAGCAGGAAGACAGACUUGUCUGAAGGAAAGAGAGCCAGCAGCAGAGAGAGCAGAACUAAGCUCUACAGAGAGGAAGUCUGGUAAAACGUCACUGAAGUGCAACAGGGCAGAAGCCACUUCUGUAUGUCUGUGGUGGACCUUAAACUCACUAAAUAUUAAAUAGAAUCAGGAGUACAUGGAGAAAAAGAGCUGUGGGGAUUUGGACUAAAGAUGAUUCACCGGGCUUGAUAUAAAAGGCAGCGGCUGAAUAAAACCUUUUCAGAGAAGAGAAUGAUAAAACCACAAUACAAGGACAGGGAAUUGAAAGCCUACUGGACUGAAUUUCAUUGUUUUCUUCUGAUUAAUACUGCAAAUUGAAAGCCACUGUGUUUAACCUGUGCUGAUGCUACAGUUGCAGUAAUUAAGCAUAAGAAUAUGGUCUUACAACUUGUGCAUGCCAAUUGUUUCAUACAAAGCACCUGGUAAAUUUGCCGGUACAUAUAGUAUUAAAUCUACAACAGAGGCGUCCACCCACCAAAGGCUGCCAUUGUUACUUUUUUAAUCGAUCUACAGUAUUCUGCCACAUGUUCUCUUCCCAAUUUCUGGGCAAAAAGGAAGACAAAGAGGGACUGGAUAAAAUGAUGGCAGGAGUUCAAAGCAUCUCUCAGGGGGUGAUUUUGCACCAGGGGCUCCACAGCAGGCACUGGUGGGGUGGUCAGUAGGGCACAGAGAGUCUUCUGUGUUAUCCCAGUGUAAGUCAUGGUUGCUCUGCAUGGUGACACCUUCCAGAUUCACGACUAUCAAGGCUAGGAUUAAAAAUGAUUUGUUAGAAAAACAGAGUUGUCAAUGAAUAUUCCUGAGUCAGAAGGCCUUUUGCAAAAUACUCUUCUGUACAAGAUUGUCAAGGAACUCAGCAAAGGUGUCAGGCAGCUAAAAUAAAAUAGCAUGU